rnacentral:lncRNA from 1 species
GGAAGGGUUCGGGUAAAAAUAUAGGCCCGAAAUCUGGGUUUGGGAAAAAAAAGGCUCGUUUAGAAAAUGGGCCGGGCCUCGGGCAAAAUUUUUUUGGCUCAGGCCAUGCCCGAAUAUAUUAAUUAUAUAUUUUUUAUUUUUAUUUUUUAAAAUACAUUUCCCAUUUCCCAUUUAUUUUUAUUCUUUUUUAUUUUUAUUUUUUAAAAGUA